rnacentral:ncRNA from 2 species
CAAAUUCUUCGGGGUCAGGUGCAAUUCCUAACCGGCGGUAAUAGCCCGCGAGCGCAAGCAGAUCUGGUGAAAUUCCAGAGCCGACAGUUAAAGUCUGGAUGAGAGAAGAGAAAG